UUUUCCCACACUUCUCUUUCUCUUUCCUUGUACGUUCUAUCGCUUUCUUUCUUUCCUUCACCCUCUUUCUCUCUUCCUUCAAUUAUUCGAACCUAAAUCGGUAGUCGUCCCCUUUCUCCCUCAUCUCCGCUUCUCCCCUUCUCCGAUUCAAACCCUAGAUGUGCCGACAUCAGAAUUUCUCCUCCCAACGUUACGAGAAAGAUACUUUAUGUAAGGUUAGGGUUUCUUCGAUUCUUCUGGAGAUGGUCUCAAGGCGUGGGAGGUCGAGUUUCUUAAGAGGUGGAGAGGUAGUGUAAAGUGGUUACAUACAAUACAUUUACUCCGAUGGUAAUUUCUCCUGUUCGUCUUAGUGUUAAUGUUGUUGUUCAUAGUAUCUCAAAAUUUGUGAGUGGUGCGGCUGAUAUCAUAGCAGGUUUGUUUGUCUUUUUUAAUUUUUUUUCUGUUCAGGUAUAUCUUUUUUUACUUUCUUGUGUAAGUACUUUUCAUUCUUCUAAAUGUAUGAAUGUUGGGUCUGAAAUUAUAAAGGUUGCUAUUUUAAAGAAUCCAAAAUGAGUAAGGGGAUAAAAUUCAUUCUAGGUUUUUGAUAAAAUAUUUAUGUAUGCGGUAGUUAAUAAGUGCAAAAUGCACUUCAGAAAGCAAAUUUCAUGGUGGAUUGCUGUUAACGAAGAAAAUAGGGAUAUGUUUUUAAUUAAUAGAGUACAAUCAUCUAAAUUAUAAUUAUGAACAAUCAUCUAAAUAAUAAUUAUGAAAUUCCACUUCCUUUGAAUAUUUGUAGCAUGCUUUGAAUUUCUUUGAGAGCUUUUCAUGCUAUAUCAUGCCCAUGUUUCAGUUUAUUACUUUGUUGAGUAACUAAUAAAAGUUAUUUUUCCCUUGGUUGGUGAAGUCUGACAUGAUAAACCCUUUUCUUUUUCUAGCUGAAAUUAACAUUGUUUUCCCUAAAUUAUUUUCUUUUGUAAAGGUUGUAGUGGAUUGUCCUACAGGUGGACUAUGCAUGUAAUCCAAAAGAAGUGCAACAACAUUACUGGAAAUAGUGCUGCUACUUUUCCUAAUCUUUCACCUAAAAUAAAAUCAAUAUACAAAAAGGUUUUUAUAUACAAAAAGGUAAUUCUAUUGCUAUAUUUCAGAAUUUCCUUUAUUAUGUAUCCCUGCAGCUUCUUCAAGAGCCUGGCUCAUAUGUUGGUGAAGUUGUCAAAGUUAUUGGCAAGAACAUAGUGUUGGUCAAGGAUCUGCUGUGAUGUUGCUGCAAUCUAUAUCGAAGAUCAAUCUACAGGGUGAUGAGGUGGAUUAUAUAGGUACACUCCACCAGUAUUUAUGUUCUAAGGUUUGAAAAUAUGUUCCGAUAGCCAAUAUCUAAUGAUGUUCUUCAACAAUCAAUCCUGUUCUGAUGAUAUUCUUCUGCAAUCAAUCCUUUCUGAUGCUAUCAUAUUCUUUGGAUUGUGUUGUACUUCUGAUUUUGCAUGGGAGACUUCUAACUUGGUACUUGGUAGAGGGUUCAUU